rnacentral:lncRNA from 1 species
GGCAGCCAACAGAAGCUUAAAGUAAGGAGAUGCGAGUACAAAAUGUUGGGAGAACUCUAGGCUAGCAUUCAAUUCUAGAAUGCAGCCCCACGCCUUUUAUUUCAACCCAUCACCAAGAAUGGCAAUUUUUUUUGUAGGAGAGGUUGCGACAGUCACAAUGCAGUAACUCAAAACAAGGACAAGGGCCCUCUCCCUUUCUUGCACCUCCAAACUUCCACAUCCAUGACUAACACCAUUAACUCACUCUGCUCAGACCUUUUACUUCAUAUUGCCAUCAUUUCCAUUUUCUUUAUGUUUAAAAGACUAUUAAGCUCAACUAUCAAUGUAUAAACAGUGAGAAAACAACAUACAUUAUCCCAAAGAACACAUCCAUUGCAGCAUGUGUGGAUCAGCAUAAAAGUUUUGAUCAUUACAGGAAGCAUAGUGGCAGCCAACAGAAGCUUAAAGUAAGGAGAUGCGAGUACAAAAUGUUGGGAGAACUCUAGGCUAGCAUUCAAUUCUAGAAUGCAGCCCCACGCCUUUUAUUUCAACCCAUCACCAAGAAUGGCAAUUUUUUUUGUAGGAGAGGUUGCGACAGUCACAAUGCAGUAACUCAAAACAAGGACAAGGGCCCUCUCCCUUUCUUGCACCUCCAAACUUCCGCAUCCAUGACUAACACCAUUAACUCACUCUGCUCAGACCUUUUACUUCAUAUUGUCAUCAUUUCCAUGUCAAUUGGCAUCAAUGUAUAUUGAAAAAUAGGUUACAAUUAUUGAAAGAAAGAUGCUUUGAAUCAGUAGUAGUAGUAGUAUUUAUCACACCAAGAACAACAAUUGAUUUCAUGACAAAAUGUGAACC